GAGUUUGAUCUUGGCUCAGGAUAAACGCUGGCGGCGCACAUAAGACAUGCAAGUCGAACGAACUUAACCAUUAGUUUACUAUUGGAGCGGUUAGUGGCGGACUGGUGAGUAACACGUAAGCAACCUGCCUGUUAGAGGGGAACAACAGUUAGAAAUGACUGCUAAUACCGCAUAUGCCAUAUUGAGGACAUCCUCAAAGUGGGAAAGGAGAAAUCCGCUAACAGAUGGGCUUGCGUCUGAUUAGCUAGUUGGUGUGGUAACGGCAUACCAAGGCAACGAUCAGUAGCCGGACUGAGAGGUUGAACGGCCAC
rnacentral:rRNA from 1 species